rnacentral:rRNA from 1 species
UACGUAGGGGGCAAGCGUUGUCCGGAUUUAUUGGGCGUAAAGAGCGUGUAGGCGGCCAUGUAGGUCCGUUGUGAAAACUCGAGGCUCAACCUCGAGACGCCGAUGGAAACCAUGUGGCUAGAGUCCGGAAGAGGAGAGUGGAAUUCCUGGUGUAGCGGUGAAAUGCGCAGAUAUCAGGAAGAACACCGGUGGCGAAGGCGGUUCUCUGGGCCUUACCUGACGCUGAGGAGCGAAAGCGUGGGGAGCGAACAGGA